GAUGAACGCUGGCGGCGUGCCUAAUACAUGCAAGUCGAGCGAACAGACGAGGAGCUUGCUCCUCUGACGUUAGCGGCGGACGGGUGAGUAACACGUGGAUAACCUACCUAUAAGACUGGGAUAACUUCGGGAAACCGGAGCUACUACCGGAUAAUAUAUUGAACCGCAUGGUUCAAUAGUGAAAGACGGUUUUGCUGUCACUUAUAGAUGGAUCCGCGCCGCAUUAGCUAGUUGGUAAGGUAACGGCUUACCAAGGCGACGAUGCGUAGCCGACCUGAGAGGGUGAUCGGCCACACUGGAACUGAGACACGGUCCAGACUCCUACGGGAGGCAGCAGUAGGGAAUCUUCCGUAAUGGGCGAAAGCCUGACGGAGCAACGCCGCGUGAGUGAUGAAGGUCUUCGGAUCGUAAAACUCUGUUAUUAGGGAAGAACAAAUGUGUAAGUAACUAUGCACGUCUUGACGGUACCUAAUCAGAAAGCCACGGCUAACUACGUG
rnacentral:rRNA from 1 species